rfam:Archaeon 13_1_40CM_2_52_13 13_1_40cm_2_scaffold_6044, whole genome shotgun sequence.
GGGGCCGUAGUCUAGCCAGGGAUGACGCUGGGGACGCGUCUAGCUCCUCAGCAUUAGGACGGGCUCCAGAAUAUACUACGACGGGUAGGCAGACCUCCAGUUGGCGGGAUGACGAAAUUCAGGAGCGCGUGAAGAUACCCGUAGACGAAAGACUCGGCGGAUGUCGUGGGUUCAAAUCCCACCGGCCCCA